AAAAGGAGUACACCAGAAUUAUUUCAAUCGAUCAUUUGUGGAGUGCACCGGAGUCGUCAAUUAAAAAAUGUCGAACAGAUCGCAUCAAGCCGACACCCGAAAUAUGCGGAAAAUGGUCAAAUUCACACACUUAUAAAGAAAACAUCCCUGGUCAUCCCUACUCCCUCUGAUCUGGCGGACUCACUAAACACAUGCUUCAUUUGUAAAUUAUGUCUGAGUGUUGGCGUGUGCCCCUGGCUAUCCGUCAAUAAAAAAUAACAUUGUGUAGUCUGGUUUACUUUUGAUACCUGUGUACAUUUUUGAAAUUCCAUUUACUUUUAAUACUUAAGUAUAUUUAAAACCAAAUACUUUUACUCAAACAGUACAUUUAUAUUUUGCAACGGGGCUAUACAUUUGGGUGUGUGAACCUUUUGGGGCGGUAAGCAAAUUGGAGUGGGUCUAGGGUGUCAGGUAGGGUGGAGGUGAUAUGGUUCUUGGCUAGUCUCUCAAAGCACUUCAUGAUGACGGAAGUGAGUGCUACGGGGCGAUAGUCGUUUAGCUCAGUUACCUUAGCUUUCUUGGGAACAUGAACAAUGGUGACUCUUGAAGCAUGUGGGGACAGCAGACUGGGA
ensembl:lncRNA